CCCUUAGAUGUUCUGGGCCGCACGCGCGCUACACUGAUGCAUUCAACGAGUCUAAAACCUGCUCUGAUAGGGGUGGGUAAUCUUUUGAAUGUGCAUCGUGAUUGGGGUAGAUGAUUGAAAUUUUUCAUCUUCAACGAGGAAUGCCUAGUAAACGCAAGUCAUCAGCUUGCAUUGAUUACGUCCCUGCCCUUUGUACACACCGCCCGUCGCUCCUACCGAUUGAAUGAUCCGAUGAAUAUCAUGGAUUGAGGAUGCAAGUAGGUUCACCUAUCUUCAUCUUCGAGAAGUGAAGUAAAUCUUAUCAUUUAGAGGAAGGAGAAGUCGUAACA
rnacentral:rRNA from 1 species